GCCGAAGUGGCGGAACUGGUAGACGCGCUAGGUUCAGGGUCUAGUACCCUUAUGGGUGUGGGAGUUCGAGUCUCCCCUUCGGCACCA
rnacentral:tRNA from 1 species